GCGCGGAAACUCAUUCCGGGUCCUUAGCCCUGUCCUCGCGCCAGCUCGCACUCCCCUGAGCAGGCGGUGGAGCGGCUCGCCGCCCCAGGCCGCGGCCGAGUCUAGGCCCCGCCGCUGUUCACCCUGGGAAAUGUAGUCCGUGUUGCGCCUAGCCGGAAGGCGGCGCCCUGCGGAGGAGGCCGGGAGCACGUGGGUUGGGGACCUGCAGAGCCCCGCCUGUCCUCGGCCUACCGCGGCGAGCAGGCAUUCCGGGUCAGACCGGCGCGGGGCGCUGCGGCCCAACUCCUUAGUAGGACGACGUGACUCGAGGGGCCGGAGGACGGAGGUGGGAGCCCGGGCUAGAGGGUGGAGGCUGGGGAGGUUGCCUGGUCACUCUGGCGCUCCGCUGCCGGGGGCAUCCUCCGGCCCAGCAAAGGUGCAGCCUGGGAAGAAGGCGUCAGCACCACCCAGAGAAGAGGAGAGGGGACUUGGCACGCCUCAGGAAGGAAAAAAGGAAGGCUCUCGGGACCACCCAAUAAGCAACCGGGAAACCACAUACCAUGGACAGUGCUCGGGGAAUUUCGUAAGGUUUUUGGAAGUAACUUUAUGUGUAACUAGAGUAAGAGUAGCUUACAUUUAAGUGCUAGGAGCAGGACUUUGCUUACCUUAGGUUCAGUUUUCUUAAUAGCUCUGAGGUGGAUAUUUUUAUUCAUCAUUUUCAGAUGAGAUGAGGAAAUCGAGCUUGGGGAAAGUUAGGCUUAUCUUGCCCCUGGCACACAGACAGGGUGGCAGACCAUGCCAUAGAUCUGGUCUGCCACAGGCCCCGGUAGUUCCUGCCUGUCACCCCUCCAGUUGUAUUUUAUUGUUUAUUAACUCCUGCCAGCUACCCUAGCAGGGAAGAGGAAAAAAUUAAAAGUGCAAAGAGCUCCGUAGUUUUGUUCAAAUGGAGGAAGCUGGCAUUGGAAGCUGGCAUUGGCAGCAGCUGCUGAGGCCUGAGAAGGUCCAUGAAGGCUUCCCUGAGAAGAGAAACUUGAUCUGAGCUUGAAGAAUAGAGAGCCUGGGAAGGAGAGGGGCCCAUUUAGCUGGUAAGCAAAAUCCAGUAGGACUCUAAGUCAUUCAGCAAGUCUUCAUCAAUAAAGAAUAGCAAGUAGGCCGGGCGCGGUGGCUCACGCCUGUAAUCCCAGCACUAUGGGAGGCUGAGGCGGGCGGAUCACGAGGUCAGGAGAUCGAGACCAUCCUGGCUAACACGGUGAAACCCCGUCUCUACUAAAAAUACAAAAAAUUAGCCGGGCAUGGUGGCAGGCACCUGUAGUCCCAGCUAUUCGGGAGGCUGAGGCAGGAGAAUGGCUUGAACACGGGAGGUGGAGCUUGCAGUGAGCUGAGAUCACGCCACUGCACUCCAGCCUGGGCGACAGAGUGAGACUCCGUCUAAAAAAAAAAAAGAAAAGAAAAGAAAGAAUAGGCUCCUCCUCAUCCCUGGAGGUUCCAGGGAUCUGGCAGAGAAAGAAGCCCAGUCUCACAGCAAUGACUCCUGAACAUCCUUUGCAAACACUAUUUAGGACAGAUGGACUGAAGUAGGCCCUGGGGAGAGUUGGGGGCAUUUCCGGAGGCCAGACCAAAGGUGAUCUCCAGGAGAUUUGGAUGUUAGUGCAGGAUAGCUCAGAGCCAAGUGGCAGAUAAGUCUUUGGGAGCCAGAAGGGCUCUUUCUUCUCUAAGGAACAAGUGUAGACCUAUAGGGGCAAGAACCUGUGGCAACCCUGGGAGAGGUCUGCAGAUUCAGGAGGGAACAUCCCAAAACUCAGCAGAGGAGGAGAGGGAGCUUUUGUUGGUCACCUGGAACCACUACCAAUCCAUGUUCAUGUCAAAUUAAAUGAUCACUUUGAAGUU
rnacentral:lncRNA from 1 species